AUACGGAGGGUGCAAGCGUUACUCGGAAUCACUGGGCGUAAAGCGCGCGCAGGCGGUCUUUUAAGUUGGAUGUGAAAGCCUACGGCUCAACCGUAGAACUGCAUCCAAAACUAUUAGACUAGAGUGUGGGAGAGGAAGAUGGAAUUAGAUGUGUAGGGGUAAAAUCCGUAGAGAUAACUAGGAAUACCAAAAGCGAAGGCAAUCUUCUGGAACACUACUGACGCUGAGGCGCGAAAGCGUGGGGAGCAAACAGGAUUAGAAACCCCAGUAGUCC
rnacentral:rRNA from 1 species